rnacentral:rRNA from 1 species
CUGGCCGUAAACGAUGGAUACUAGGUGUGGGAGGUAUCGACCCCUUCCGUGCCGGAGUUAACGCAAUAAGUAUCCCGCCUGGGGANACGCGAAGAACCUUACCAGGGCUUGACAUUAAUUGAAAGAAUCAGAGAUGAUUCCCUGUUCUUCGGAACACAAGCAAACAGGUGG